ACCGCGAUAGCUCAGCUAGUGGAGCAUCUGCCCGGUAAGCGGAGGGUCGCCGGUUCGACUACGGCUCGUGGAG
rnacentral:tRNA from 1 species